rnacentral:rRNA from 1 species
UACGUAGGGGGCUAGCGUUGUCCGGAAUCAUUGGGCGUAAAGAGCGUGUAGGCGGCUCAGUAAGUCCGCUGUGAAAGUCCAGGGCUCAACCCUGGAAUGCCAGUGGAAACUGUUGAGCUAGAGUCCGGAAGAGGCGAGUGGAAUUCCUGGUGUAGCGGUGAAAUGCGCAGAUAUCAGGAGGAACACCAAUGGCGAAGGCAGCUCGCUGGGACGGUACUGACGCUGAGAAGCGAAAGCAUGGGGAGCGAACAGG